ACGCAGCAGAAAACAAAAAAUUUCCGACCUACGCACCAGCCCAGGACCACUAUGGAGACUGCAUACAAGGUUUGAUCUUUUUCGUUACCGACUCGUAGCGCAGCGGGAAGUAGAGUCGAUGACGAUCGGCGGUGCAGCUCCCCGCAGCUAGGAUUUACAACCUCCCAACCGCGAGGAUGUAUACCCUCAUCUGCUCCUCAGACAGCCCUCCGAGAGGCGGUCGAACAGCCCCCCGGACGGUGUCACGGACAGCCCUUCGGGAGGACCUUCGAAACUCGAACGGUCACUCGGACAGCCCUUCGGGAGGACCUUCAAAACUCGGACGGUCACACGGACAGCCCUUCGGGAGGCACUCACGAACUAAGACCGAAACUACGAUCUCUCUACAAAGUUGCACACAUACGGUGUCAUCUAUCCGGCAGGGCUUCGCCGUCCAGAACUAGUUUCCACCGGAACCCAGACAGCCUUUCGGCUCUACGAAACUAUUUCGCUGGGAGGGAGAGAGAAGCCAGAUCAUGCAUGGCACUUGUAUGUGAGAAGGGAUGAUCCUUUAGGCAGCCCCCUCCACCCCUAUAUAUAGGCCAAGCCCAAGGGUGGCUUCUCCAAGAAGCCAAGGGGGGAAAUACCAAAAAGGCCCUCAAGGUGGCUUCUCCAAGAAGCCAAGCAAAAAGCACUUUCAUUAUUCAUGACAACAUUUUUCAGCGUCCGUUCAAACUGAAAAUAUUUAUGUGGGCUCAGAACAUUUCCAGUACCCACUAAAAUAAUUUUCAACGCGUUCCGAAACAAUUUCGGUUUAGUGAUUUUCAUCUGCGAAAAGCAAACAAGAAUGCGUUUUCACUAUUCAUGAAGACAAUUUUUCGAGUCCACUAAAUCCGAAAAUAUUUCUGUGGGUCUUAGAAUAAUUCCAGUGCCCACUAAAAUGAUUUUGGAUUCGUUCUGAAACAAUUCCAGAUUAGUGAAUUUGAUCUGCGAAAAACAGCCAAAGCGGUACCGGCAGCUCCGAAACAUUUUCGGUUUUUAUUUCUGAAAAUUCCAAAAAGUUUCCAGAAUGAUUCUGGCACCCUCCAAGAAUUAUCAGGCAUGUGCCGAAACCAUUUUGACUUAAUGGCAUACCCCGAAACAACUUUUUCGGUUUCACCGAAACUCAUCCGGUCUCUCUGCGGUACGAUUCUGCUGUCCGAAACUUUUUGGUGUCCGAAACUUUUUCGGUGAUUUUCUCUCAGACUCCCUGUCUAGUAUUCAGUAGAUAGAUGACCCUUAAGCAUGUGACCCUAUAGGUUCGGUGAAGUAUAGACAUGACCUGGAACCCCUUCCGAUCAAUGAUCAACAUCGGAGCUGUGGACACCCAUAUUGACCCCUAUACCCACACGAAUGAAUAUUUGAGUGAACCUCCAGUUGAGGUGAGCUAUUCCUGUUGCUUCACGAUAUAUCACAAACACCUGAGGUGAGAUUUAUUGCAUCCCCGUGGGCCAACACUUUGUCCACUAUGCAAGUUACCUCAUUACCGGUUUUGUUCUCUUUUCUCGUUUCGUGUUCCGGCAUCCCCGUGAUCAAAUCACAAAGUGUCUGGCCAGACGAUGAUGGACAUCGUAACACCGAGAGGGCCCGAGUAUAUCUCUCCAUCGUCGGAGGAGCAAAUCCCAAUCUCGAGCUAUCAAGUUACUUAACAUACUUUCCCAUGAACCCGUAAGCCGCCGUAAUACCAUCCAGUUAUGGAUGACGUUUAACAAACCCCAAAGUUCAUGAAGCAAGCAUGAAGAAACUCGAUACUCUCAUGGUCUAAGGAAUUAUGCAAACAUUAACUAUCUCUGUGUUAUAAACCACUAACUUGUGACGAAUGUAUCUCAUAGCAUAACAUCAAUUCGGGUCGAUUCAACACAAAUGUGCUUCCUGACAUUGUGCCCUCAAAGUUGCUUGGCAUAGACAUGCCCAUGAUUGGGAAAACAUAAUCAUCAUGCAACACUUGAGCUAGUCUUAGAGGCACGACUAGGAAUACAUUUUACCGUUUAUUAUUCCACACGUGCAUAUGGGUUCUCCCCAGAGCCUUUAUGGAUAUACGGGCUCGGGAACCACAACAGUUAUAGCAUGGAACAUAAAUAUAAUUAUGAACAGGGAGAUAAUCAAUAACAUUUAUUAUUGCCUCUAGGGCAUAUCUCCUACAGACUCCCACUUGCACUAGAGACAAUAAUCUAGCUUAUGCUAAUGCACUUCACACCUGUGGCACACUGGUGUAAAUAUGCUUCGCUUGUGGUAUAGCCUGAUGUCCAACGGAUCUGACGACUUCAGUUCCGUGUGUAUCUUUGCAUGUCCUCGCGUUUUCACGUUUUCACAAAAUUCAUAUUUUGUGUGGACUUGGCUUUGUAUGUAUGUGAAUCACAGGUCGAACCUGGAUUCCUCAGACUGAGUUAUGGAGCAACUACCUGCAGUAGUGUCCCAUUGUCAAAAGCCAUCUUGGAACUGUACUAAGUUCAUGAAUGAACUAUAUAAUUCAACAUCUUCUUUGUCGCUUCUAAAGCGUCAACAUACUUAGCCCUUGUUAUAGAAUUCGCCACAGUAACUAGUUUGAACAAAUUCCAACUAACUGUGCCACCACAUUGUGUGUUACACAAAACCCUUAAUUUAAAUCGAAAAUCGCAUGGAGAAAAGAUGAAGACUGUAUCGAUGUAACAUUUUACAACGAACUCUUCAUGAUCUUUGCUUGCGAGAAAACCAUGUCAUCAGUACUUACUCUAGUACUCUGUGACAUCUUUCACUGUUGUCCCAUGAUCAGUAAUUUGAUCACUUUGGUAUCCAUACUCGCAAACCUUGGGAGUAUCGGACAUAUCUGGUUGUUUUACAUACCAUGGAAUACAUGAUUAAUCCAAACACAAAAGUGUGUGGAAUCUGCAUCAUGUAUUUUACUCAUCAGUGUUUUGGGACACCGAGUCUUGCAAAAACUCUUUCCAUGUGACUUUGGCAAGAAUCACUCCUUGGCGUUUUAAAUGCUAAAAGGUUUUAGCAUCUUGUCAAUAUGUAUUCAAUGCUUAGCCCCAUUAGGUAAAUCUAUCUCCAUAGAUCAUCAUGCCUAAUAUUGAGGCUAUUUAGCCUAAGCACUUCAUCGAAAAACUAUUUUCAAAUGAAGUCCUAAUUCGUGUCAAGAAAUUUAUUUCCAAUUACCAAUGUGCCAAGCGCAUAAGGUUUUUAGAAAUAUUAUUACGCUCCCACUUACUUUCUUGAAUUACAAGCAUCUUCGUUACCCAUUGAUGAAAUCAAAACCCCUUUGACCAUUUCAUCAAAACACGAAGAUUCCAACUCCAUUUUGCUCUCUUCUGUCCAUUGCUAGAACUCUGAAGUUUGCAUACCUACUAGCAUCCUCUGGAUCGACAAAUUACUUUGGACUGUAUCAUAUACAAGUCCUAGCUUUCAUUUCCAUCAGAUGGAAAUCCUUUUAUCAUCCAUGUUUCAUAUCUCAUGAUUGAAAUAUGUAUUAAUUGAUAGUUCAACCCGAACCGACUUUAAGCAUCGCUACGAUGAAAACAACCUCAUCAUAGUCAACUCUUGAACUUGUUAUUUCAACAAGUCGAGCUUUAUGGAUAAAACAUUUUUAUCCGUAUCAGUUUUAAGUUCCAUAAAUAUUCGUUAGACUCUAAGUCUUCCGAAAGGUGUAUCAAGGUUUAAAUCUUGAAUCACUUAUAUGGAAACUAACUCGGGUUGUAUUGGCAUUUAGCCAAUUCCGGAGUCAGGGCCCAUCAACGCUUCCUUGUGUAUCGUAGGUAUAAUGUUGUCUAACAACAAUAUCUCAUUUGCGCUCCUGAGUGGUUUGCACGAGCCUUGCCUACGUGGUUCAGCUGCAAGUUCGACCGAAGUUCAUACAUUUUAUUGUAGAGACUUCCGUAUCAGUCGUAGUAGGAAACUCUGGAAUUACUUCCAAGGUCUCUUUCCUUUGAUCUGAUGACGUAGAUACUGUUUAUCUCGUCGAGUUGCACUAUUCUCCCACUCACCUUUUUGAAAGAACCAUUCUCUUUAAAAGCACACUGUUUCGCGGCAAAACUAUUUGCCUCGGUAUAGUGAGGGAGGAAUACCCAACAUUUUGGUAUAACCUACAAAGUAGCACUUGUCUGAUUUGGAAUAGGUUUGUAACCUUUUACACAAGCCCCAUAUUCCAAAUGUUAAGAAAAUAUAUAACAUGGUUGGGCGUACCAUACCAUGGCUUCAUUUCAACAGACCCGAUGUAGCUCUUUUCAGUGUAAAAGCCGCAGCCUCUAAAGCAUCACUUUAAAAGGGAUAAUGACAAAUUUAUUUAUGUCAUCUUUGACCUUACCAUGUCAUAAAUGGUUUGAUUACAUCUCCACAGACUUUCCACUUCCAGUGGUGUUCCGGGAGGUGCAAGUUAUGAAACCCCUUUCACAACUCAUCAGACAUUCGCUAAACAUGUAACUCAAAUAUUCCUUUGUGCAAUCAAAUUGCAGAAACAUAAUUUUCUUGUUACAAUAACUUCUACUUCAUUUUUGAGAACCUUUCGAAUGAUUUCAAAAGAUCCAGACUUACGUCUCAUCAAGUAAAUAUCCAUAUAUCUACUUGAGUCAUUUCUGAAGAUAAAUAAAUCCACCACUAACAACACUUAUCGGACUACACACAUCAAAUGUAUGAUCACUAAUAAUUUUGUUGUUCGUUCCUUAUGGCCUGUGAACAGUAUUUUAGUCACUUCACUUUUCGGAGGAAAGUUGCAAGUGUCAGAUGAUUCAAAAUCAAAAAGACUUCAAAAUCCAUCAUAAUGGAAUUUUCCAUGCGGGUCUCUCCAAUGUGACCAAAUGUAGUGCCACACUUGUGUGGUAUUCUUUUAGUCUUGCGACAUUUAGCGUCAGUGUUAUGGAUGUAUCAUAUUACCAUCAAUAUUCAUAACAUACAUGCCAUCUUGGAUGGAAGCAUGGCCCUUCAUGUUAUUCAUAAUACUUAACAACAAUUGUUGUUUUUAUGAACAACUCUUUUGCAACAAACAUUGUGCGAUGGGCUAGAGUGUAUGAAACUCUAAAAUGAAUUACGAAAGUAAACCCAGAGGCAUUAUAUUAUUAUCAAUAUUCAUAACAUACAUCUCAUUCAUAAUGAAAGUAUGGCCCUUGUGUUAUUCGUAACAUCGAACAUAAAAAGUUCUCUUAUGAACAACCUUCUUGCAAGAUACCUUAUGCAAUGAGAUAGAGUUUGUAAAACCCUAAAUGAAAUAUGAAGAUAAAUACAGACGGCAAUACACCGAUGGAAGGUAUAGUAACAUUUACUAUGUUCCCCGUGUAUACCUUAACCUCAUUUCUAGCUAGUCUUUCAGGCCAUAGUAGUUCUUACAUCGAGUUGCAACAGAAUGCAAUCGAGCGGGCAAUUUUGUGAUGAACUCACAAUACCCAAGAAUUAGUGAUUAACAUGUUUAACCAUAAUUCGCAAGAACUAUAUCUUUGACCAGCCUUCUAUACAUCAAAAACUUGUAUGACAUUCAUACAUGAGCUGGAUAUUCCAGUCUUCUUUCCUUUUGCCUUUAUACUUCUAACAGUUUAACUUUUAGUAUUUCUCCUACUCUCAGAAGAAGCACCCAACUUAAGAGUGGCAUUAGCCCCGGACUUCCUAGGAGUGUAAGUCAUACUAACACCCUUUGGACACUUCCUUUCUCUUUAAGUUGUUGUUUUAUUCACCUUUCAUUAUAUGACAGGCGUUCUUCUGGAUCCCUUUCCCAACAGUCAAAUGCAUAGUAAACACUUUUACUAAUACUUGCAAACAAACAUUGCUUUGUUUGUAUCUGAAAAUAAUUUUCAGUUCCAUGAAUAUCAUAUAACUAUCCCAACUUUCAAAGUUUGGGUUUCAUGGAAGCAAACAUAUUCCACUUGACCGUAACAGAAUUCUAGCUUUUGGAUCGAAGGACGAGAGUCACAUGAUCCAUAGCAUUAGCGGGAGGAUACGGAAAGCAUGCGAUAGGACAAAGUCCUUCUCGGCACUUUUGAGGACAAUCCUCAUAUUACGUUACCAAUCGUAAAGUUUUAACCAGAUAUUUAACAGCUAUUCAAUUUUAAUAGGGAAGGUGGAAAUGCGAGCCAUUAUUCUACAACUAUUAUGCAAGAAACACUUAGACAGUGUUCAUAAUUAAUUGCACUGAGAAUUAAACAUGUUAAUUCAACAGUGCGCUCCCACUCAAAUCAAUAUCUCUCACAAUUAAUUUUGAGUGAUGCAAGAUCCAGACUUCAAUUCAUCGCCAUAGAAUCAUCAUCUCAUAACGGGAAUUUUAAUCGGUAGGCCAACUUGCCGAUCACAUCUCUAUGUGACUCUUGCUCAUCUUUCGAUGUGUGUGUUCCGAGCUCAGGACGAUCCUGCCAUGAACGUCAAGACAACCAAGUGAUCUUGCUGCGAGGUCUGACCUCACCCGCCUCACACUUCUCUAAUCGUUCGUACCCAUGCAUCCAUGGCGCACCCCGAAAAGAUAGGUGCCGUGACGGUGCUACACUUGGGAGAACACUAACUACUUGAUAUUUUAAGUGAGAGAUCACCCUAAUAAAAGCGACUACCGCGCAAUCAAGAAGGGUGCAUCAUAAGGGAUAAACAUCUCAGGCAAUUCAUAAUAGCAUGAUAUGGUAUAGCCCUUUCUGACGGAGAAGUAUUUCAUUUCUUCAUCUUCGGCAUUCGCGUCGGUGUUCACCUUCGCGAAGAUUGCCACCACCUUGUCGAUGCACCAGAUAAUAUUGCUAUCUCUAUAGCUAACAAAAUAAUGCAUUACAACAAGGUUGACACGCAGGUCAUUAAAGUGCAAUCAUAUGGCUCCAGCCAUCAUGCCGAAUCAUGACACGCAGGUCAUGUUAAUCAAAUUACAUCAUAUAGUCAUCUCAUACAUAAUCAAAUUAGUAUGAGCACUGCUAUACCACAUCACAUGCACAUCCUGCAAACCAAGUUAGACGCCUUUAAUCGGUUUAUGCAAAAUUUAUUUUACGUGGCUUCUAAGGUUUUGACUUAAACCGCAGCGACCAACGUUCAUCAUCAAGUAUGAUAGUUCAUGUCGCUAGAUUAACUUUGCAGGGUGUAUGAAGCACGAGACAAUAAAAUCUCGAACCCCAUACUAAACUUCGUCAUACGCAUGACCCCCGUGCAGAUCAUAUCUGCAUUGCCCUGUCGUCUGCGAAUUUCAUCUUUCUUUUGACUACGGCAGAACCCAAAGAACUGAUAGCACUUCCAUGAUCAAUCAGGAUCAUGGAUUGCCAGAACUUUGUCAAAUUCCACCAUGCUGUCUCGAGAUUGAGCAAACGCAAAUUCUAGGGAAGCAACAAGAACAUCGGGUAACAGAUUUCAUCUGUCAUCCGCAUAAAUAAUUUUCAGCAAUAGAUCUCAUCUACUACCUAAUUAUAUUAUGCAAUACCCAUACAUCUCUAUGUAUUCUAGAUCGCAACCUGCAUCUACGCAUAGCAUGGCUCAUGAUGCCACUGUAGGGUAACGCAGCAGAAAACAAAAAAAUUCCGACCUACCCACCAGCCCAGGACCACUAUGGAGACUGCAUACAAGGUUUGAUCUUUUUCGUUACCGACUCGUAGCGUAGCGGGAAGUAGAGUCGAUGACGAUCGGUGGUGCAGAUCCCCGCAGCUAGGAUUUACAACCUCCCAACCGCGAGGAUGUAUACCCUCAUCUGCUCCUCAGACAGCCCUCCGAGAGGCGGUCGAACAGCCCCCCGGACGGUGUCACGGACAGCCCUUCGGGAGGACCUUCGAAACUCGAACGGUCACUCGGACAGCCCUUCGGGAGGACCUUCGAAACUCGGACGGUCACAC
rnacentral:lncRNA from 1 species